UCUCAGAGAAAGCACAUCGAAUUCAUCAAAAGUACCACAGCAUUUUAGCUCAAAGUCCUCAUUGAAAAAAUUAUAGAGAUAAAUCAUUGCUGACAGCAGAGUUAGUGGAAGAAAGGCACUUGUGAAGAGAGCGGAGAUGACAGAAUAUUCCAGAAGACAUUCUGUGCGAACUUGGAGAGAUUAAGUUGAGCUGGAAGGUAAUCGAUUUUAUUGCAAACGCUAUUCAGAUUAACAUAAAACAAAGAACUGUGGAAAACCGACACGAAAACAGGAAUAGAUUGAGAAACUCGGCAGGUCUGACAGCACCAGUGUAGAGGAAUAGAGUUAACAUUUCGGGUCCAGUGACUAUUUGUGACAACUGUCAACUUUACAACCUUAAAGGGAUUUCAUUGGCUCUAAUGCUCCUUCCAUUGCCCAGAUGUGGUGUGAGGCUGAUUAAAUGGUUGCCUUUUUCUUUUCCGUUGUGUCAGUUAGCAGCCAUGUCGAAUGGAGAAUUGGUCCUUUCAGUGUCUACCU